AGUGAACGCUGGCGGUAGGCCUAACACAUGCAAGUCGAACGGCAGCACAGUAAGAGCUUGCUCUUACGGGUGGCGAGUGGCGGACGGGUGAGGAAUACAUCGGAAUCUACUUUUUCGUGGGGGAUAACGUAGGGAAACUUACGCUAAUACCGCAUACGACCUACGGGUGAAAGCAGGGGAUCUUCGGACCUUGCGCGAUUGAAUGAGCCGAUGUCGGAUUAGCUAGUUGGCGGGGUAAAGGCCCACCAAGGCGACGAUCCGUAGCUGGUCUGAGAGGAUGAUCAGCCAAAAUGGAAAUGGGACAAGGGCCAGACUCCUAAGGGAGGCAGCAGUGGGGGAUAUUGGACAAUGGGCGCAAGCCUGAUCCAGCCAUACCGCGUGGGUGAAGAAGGCCUUCGGGUUGUAAAGCCCUUUUGUUGGGAAAGAAAAGGAGCAGGUUAAUACCCCGCUGUUCUGACGGUACCCAAAGAAUAAGCACCGGCUAACUUCGUGC
rnacentral:rRNA from 1 species